GUCUACGCACAUACCACCCUGAACGCGCCCGAUCUCAUCUGAUCUCGGAAGCUAAGCAGUGUCGGGCCUGGUUAGUACUUGGAUGGGAGACAGAGGGAUACCGUGCCUAAUAUAUU
ensembl:rRNA 5S_rRNA 5S ribosomal RNA